CUUUGGUUUUAUUUUGUUGGUUUCUAGGACCGAAGUAAUGAUUAAUAGGGAUAGUUGGGGGCAUUAGUAUUUCAGUGUCAGAGGUGAAAUUCUUGGAUUUCUGAAAGACUAACUACUGCGAAAGCAUUUGCCAAGGAUGUUUUCAUUAAUCAAGAACGAAAGUUAGGGGAUCGAAGACGAUCAGAUACCGUCGUAGUCUUAACCGUAAACUAUGCCGACUAGAGAUUGGUGAGUGUUUUUUCGACCUCAUCAGCAUCUUACGAGAAAUCAAAGUUUUUGGGUUCUGGGGGGAGUAUGGUCGCAAGGCUGAAACUUAAAGGAAUUGACGGAAGGGCACCACCAGGAGUGGAGCUUGCGGCUUAAUUUGACUCAACACGGGAAAACUUACCAGGUCCAGACAUAGUAAGGAUUGACAGAUUGAGAGCUCUUUCUUGAUUUCUAUGGUUGGUGGUGCAUGGCCGUUCUUAGUUGGUGGAGUGAUUUGUCUGGUUAAUUCCGAUAACGAACGAGACCUUAACCUGCUAAAUAGUUGCUGAAAGUUUUUACUUUUAUGGCAACUUCUUAGAGGGACUAUUGAUGUUUAAUCAAUGGAAGUUUGAGGCAAUAACAGGUCUGUGAUGCCCUUAGAUGUUCUGGGCUGCACGCGUGCUACACUGAUGAAGUCAGCGAGUAUAAUCCUUUGCCGAGAGGUAUGGGUAAUCUUGUGAAACUUCAUCGUGA
rnacentral:rRNA from 1 species